rnacentral:rRNA from 1 species
AAACUAAAUGGCUGCAGUAACUAUGACUGUGUGAAUGUAGCAUAAUCACUCGCCACUUAAUUAGUGGAUAGUAUGAAUGGUUAAACGAAAAUUUCUCUGUCUUAUAUGAUAAAAAAAAAAUUUAAAUUAUAGUUAAGAUGUAUAUAAAAUUGUAAGACGAAAAGACCCUAUAAAGCUUAACUAUAUCUUUUAUAUGAUUUGUAAACAACAAUAUUUUAAAAGACUGGUAGUUUCAUUGGGGCGAUGGUUUCUAAAAAUUAACAGAAAUAAACUAUAUUAAUAUUAUAAUUUACUGUUUAACCUAUAAGUUUAACAGUUACUAAGUAGGUUAUAAAGACCCAUUAUUAUCUAUAAGAAGAAAUAAUGAUCAAAAAAUAAAAGCUACUUUAGGGAUAACAGGAUAAUAUUUUCUAAGAGUCCUUAUCGAAGAAAAAGUUUAUCACCUCGAUGUUGAAUUAAGAUAACCUAAUGACGCAGC